ensembl:lncRNA
GGCAUCCAGUACAAGGCCACGCACUACCUUCACGGAGUGCCAGGCACUUGUAGGGCACGACGGUGCCAUGGAAGUACCUUCACUUCCGUUUCCUCCAACCGAAUGGAUCAGCCUCAGCUUCACGACGUGGGCAAUGGACAUGAUCCUGGCCUUCGCCUGUGGACUGGGCCUCUUCCACCUGUGGAUACAUUUCUUCCCACUCACCUCACCCUCACCUGCAGAGGGCGCCUCCACCACCACCAAAAGGGUGGUGAAGAGGGACCACAACAAGGCCAGGAAGAAAAUCAGGACCUUGAAAGGUAGGCUCCUUCCUUCCCCUGGACAGGUGACUUCAUCUACCCUGUCCCCAAGGGAUGACACCAAAUGAGUUGCAGACCAUGCGGCUGUGGCUGCAUGGAAGGAAUCAGAAGUGAAGACAUUGCCAAGGUGCUGUGCUCAGAAUAAAGCCAGGGACGACCAUGGUUGGCUGCAGUCAGGAGGGUGGUGUGGGUAGGACCAGAAACAUGCUGCAUGCGUCUGCAGGCAAAUGGGUUAUUUCACUUCUCUAAGACACUUUCCUCUUCCACUACACUGGACCUCCCUCCUCUCCACAGGGACAUUAUGAAGUCCAUGGAGCUCGGCGGAAAUGGAAGCCUCCGGUCUAUGGUCAGGUCCUAUCCCACAUGUGCCCAGCACUUAGUGCUUUGGGGCCUGUGGCCUUGUUCAGCAAAGCUUGAGCUCCUGUUUAGUUGAUCAUUUCCACAGAAGGGACAUUGCAUUCAGGCUCCCGUAGGCUCUCAGUUCUCUCCUUUACCCACAAUCACCCCAUCUGUAUUUCUAGCUUACAGAGGCUACAGCAGGAAGAGAGGGAAGGAUGACAGGGGCCUGCUUUCGCUCCUGCAGAGGUGAGAAGUCUCCAGUGCUUCCUGGCUCCUCACUCCCACGCCUGUGAGGAGAUCACUCGGGACAAAGGGCAAGGGCUGACCAUGGGACCAGGGGCCCUCUGGGAAGGUGGGGUGCGUGCACAGCGCUACUGUUUAAUUCGAGUGUGGAGCUGUGGCUGCAGGUGGCCUUUCCUGCUCAGCCUGUCCACCUCCUGCUGCCGAAUGCUCCAAGCUGCAACCUUAUGUCCUGUCUCCUGCAGCCUGCUUACUGACACCAUCAGCUUUUGCCAGCUCUUAAGAAGAGAUGCCUCGGCUCAAGGAUCCAGACCAGAAGCUGCCGAAGACCACCAGCCACCUAGGCAUUCCACAGAGCAGUCUAUGGCCAACUUGCCUCUAGUGGCCUCCUUCCCUCUGGUCAAGGAACACUUGCUGCACAAAGAUUCAACUUUGUCACCUACCCUGCUAAAUUCCCUUACUUGUAAGGAAUCACAAACACUUACAUGUGAUUCUACCCCACCAGUGACGACAAUGCCAAAAAUGCAUCCUUUACCACGACCAUGUGGCCCAACCUCCCCAUCCUGUCCUCAAGAUCCAGUGUUCUGCUCUCCAUCCGAGACAGACCAAAGCAUGACUCCUCCUCCUUCUCCUCCUCUUCCUCCUCCUCCUUUUCCUCUGAUCUCUCUUCCUCCUCCUCCUCCUCCUCUAUCCCUUCCUCCCUCUCUUCCUCCUCCUCUUUCCCUUCCUCCCUCUCUUCCUCCUCCUCCUCUUUCCCUUCCUCCCUCUCCUCCUCCUCCUCCUCUUCCUCCUCCUCCCCUUCCUCUUUUUCCUCCUCUUUCUCUUCCUCCUCCACCUCCUCCUCUUCCUCUUCCUCUUCCUUCUCCUCCUCCUCCUCCUCCUCCUCGAUGUGAGUGGAAAACACAACUAGUGACCUCACGAAGCACAUCUCCUCCAGCUUUGCCUUGUCCCAUGGCAAGCCCCCCAGGCCUUGAGCACUCAAACAUGUCUCCUUCAAGCUCUUCCUGGUACAAGGCGGCUGCCAGGACCUGGUGUCAUUCUAAGUGGUCACAGGAUGAGACCCUGCAAGAGGAUCUCCAUUUCAGCUUCCAAGAGGCCUCAUUGUGGACAGACCCUGGAUACAGGCAGCUAGAGGCUGGAGAACCCCCGUUCAUCAAGCCUGAUGUGCAGAAGAUACUGGAGCUGCAGAUUAGCAAGAGGGUAGAACUGAAGCUCUGGAAAGAGCAAGGAAGGGAGAGCUUUGACCACGCCUUGAGCUGUGUGGGUGAUAUGCUGCAGUCCUGGAGCAG